GCGUUAGUGUUCUAAUGGUAUGAUUUUAGCCUUCCAAGCUGACGGCCUGGGUUCGAUUCCCAGCUAACGCA
rfam:Vittaforma corneae ATCC 50505 unplaced genomic scaffold supercont1.3, whole genome shotgun sequence.